GAGAAGAUGUUGAGGCAUUUUCUGGAGAUGGGGUUCAAAUGGAGAAAGGGAGAUGUUGCGGCAUUUUCUGGAGAACGGGGUUCACAUUGGCGAUCGCGAGUUAUCAUCAGGCGACUGGGGUUCAAAUCGGAGAACGGGGUUCGUUAUUUUGGCAAACAGGAGGACGGGGUUCAAAUGCAGUGAUUUGAGGGUCAUUUGCAGAGAAGAAAAUUUGCGGGGUUCAAGAAAAUGAAAAAAUAUAAAAAAAAAUAAAAAAAAAGAAA
rnacentral:lncRNA from 1 species